UUUCCGAAACCUAAACACAGCUCCAACGAUUUUUAAACCGAUCUUGAAUCAGUACUCGGGUAUAUCCGGACCAUUAGGUAUCUUUUUGGAACACCAAAAUACUAGUCCGGGAGCACUGUUAGAAUGAGCAGUAUCAAUUCAUUUCUUAGCGCCGUGGCCCUGGCUGGAGCGAUCGGUAUUGGCUAUGGAAUGUGGUCAAUUAUAUCGCCCGGAGAAGAAAGACGAAAGGAGCUUAUCAAGAAUCUGCCGGAAGCAAACCCCGUGCGAAUGGAGGAGACUCGGAGAAAAAACGCUUUGAUGCUUCAGGUGCUGAAGGAGGCGGCGGAAACCAACGACAACGUCCUCGCUCGAUACAGCCAGAAAUAAGCAAUUUAGAAAAGCUUCCACUCGACAUAAAAGGGACAACAGGGAAAGACGUGCAAGGAACAACUUUAAAUGAAGGAGUGAGACAGACGGAUGGAUCCAGAGACAGGACUAUGUGAUUAAAACACCUUGGUCUCCACAAAUGUAGUAGUCUGACAUGGACUGUGUGCAUGAGUUUCUCAUUUUCAGUUUUUCACCUGAAGAUAAUUAAGCAUGUAAAUAAAUGCUAGUGAUUAUAAAAAGCAGAUUUUUCAUGACAAACAACAAAAUGUGAGACAGAUGGACUGACAAGGCUGUAUACCUUUUUUCCCUUGGGCAACAUUAAAAUGUUUAUCUAUUCCUGUAAGAGGCAGUGUAAAUUCAAGAACUGUAAUGUGGUAUGUGACUAUCAACAGUGUACGGGUGCAUUUUAAAUACAAAUAUAUGAAACUUGACAUUUAUUGAGUAUUCAUCUUGAACAACUGAAAAUAUGUUGGCUUCAGGCAGAUUUUUAUUAUGGUCUCAUACUUGCAAGAUAUGGAAUUUUCCUAUAAAUUCAAAAAGCACAUUGUGUGAUGCAAUUAAGUCUCACUGAUAAAUUUUGAUUGUUACUUUUCAUGUUUUGAUGAAACCAUGUACAAUGCAGCAUAACCACACCACACAACAAUCACUGCUCCUCUAGUAUUAGUAUAUAUGCUCAUUAUUCAAGUUUCCCUCAAUAAAAUAUUUGCUCUGAAGUCA